rnacentral:rRNA from 1 species
CAUCGCCUCUUGACCCCAUAAGAGGUCCAGCCUGCCCAGUGACUCUGUUCAACGGCUGCGGUAUUCUAACCGUGCAAAGGUAGCGUAAUCACUUGUUUUCUAAAUAAAGACCUGUAUGAAAGGCACCACGAGAGCUAAACUGUCUCCUUUUUCCAAUCAGUAAACCUAAUCUCCCUGUGAAAAAGCAGGGAUUGAAAUAUAAGACGAGAAGACCCUGUGGAGCUUAAAACAUUCUUUACUUGCCAUUUCACCACAUUACCCAGGUUCAUCACUAAACGGCACUCUAAUCCAAUGUUUUUGGUUGGGGUGACCACGGAGAAAAACUUAUCCUCCGUAAUGAAAGGAAUUCCCUAAGCUAUAAAAUACAACUUUAAGCAUCAAAAAAUUGACAUAAUUGACCCAAUAAGUUGAUCAAUGAACCAAGUUACCCCAGGGAUAACAGCACAAUCCGCUUUAAGAGCCCCUAUCGACAAGCGGGCUUAUGACCUCGAUGUUGGAUCGGGAUAUCCCAGUGGUGCAACCGCUACUAAAGGUUCGUUUGUUCAACGAUUAAAACCCC